UCGAAAUCAGAAAGUCUAGGAGGGGAAGGGGGGAGCUCUCGAGCUCUUCCGGAACCCUCCGAAGCUUUUCGACCUUCUCAACACCCGUGUGCACCCACUGUAGGUCCCUUCGGGGAUCUAUGUCUUCUCUCUUCGAACUCGCAUGUCUACAGAAUGUACCGUCGCGUCGCCGGCAGGGCCGGUCGACCGCAAACCUUAUA
rnacentral:misc_RNA from 1 species